rnacentral:rRNA from 1 species
GUGCCAGCCGCCGCGGUAAUACAGAGGGUGCGAGCGUUGUUCGGAAUUAUUGGGCGUAAAGCGCUUGUAGGCGGCUUGUUAAGUUCCGUGUGAAAUCCCCAGGCUUAACCUGGGAAGUGCGCGGAAAACUGGCGAGCUUGAGUGCCGGAGAGGGUCGCGGAAUUCCCGGUGUAGAGGUGAAAUUCGUAGAUAUCGGGAGGAACACCAGUGGCGAAGGCGGCGACCUGGACGGACACUGACGCUGAGACGCGAAAGCGUGGGGAGCAAACAGGAUUAGAUACCCCCGUAGUCC